ACUCCUGUCCGGUAGGUGGCGGGAAUGCACCAUUCAAGUUGUUCUGGCAUUACACCAAAAGAAGAAGAAUUCUACACUAGGCGACUCCUGAAGAUAUCGAAAGCAAACAGGAAUUAAAAAAAAGAGACUUAAAAACGGUCAUAAACAAAACAUUAAGGUGUAAGUUCAGUUUCUCAGUAUGGAGAAGAGCGAGAGCAGUGAGAGAUCUUCAUCUCCUGAUUGCAGCUGUGUGUCUCUGAAGAGUAACAGAUCCAUGAAUAAGCCUCCUUUACUUAGUAAUGAUCCAAUGACCUCUGACCCCAGGAUCUCAUGGAGAUUGAGAGUUUCAUCUACUGAUCUCAGCUGUGUCUCUCUGAAGAGUGACAGAUCCAUGAAUAAGCCUCCUUUACUUAGUAAUGAUCCAAUGACCUCUGACCCCAGGAUCUCAUGGAGAUUGAGAGUUUCAUCUACUGAUUGCAGCUGUGUGUCUCUGAAGAGUGACAGAUCCAUGAAUAAGCCUCCUUUACUUAGUAAUGAUCCAAUGACCUCUGACCCCAGGAUCCUAAGGAGGAUGAAGAGGAAGAGAUCUUUAUCUCCUGAUCACAGCUGUGUGUCUCUGAAGAGUUACAGAUUCAUGCUUGAUCCUCCUAAUUUCAGUAAAGAUCUGGUGACCUCUGACCCCAGCAGAGCAGAUCGAGAAAGAAGCAUCUCUGGAGGAGCCACAUCUGUCUUCUGUCUGAAUAAACAUGUGAAUUAUGAACUACAGAGAGUAAAAGUAAAAGACCAGCUCAAAGCCAGCAUGAAGAACAAGUAUGAGAGAUUAUUUGAGGGUCUGAAGCUCCAGGAAAAUGAAAGCCUCCUGAACAGCAUCUACACACAGCUCUACAUCAUAGAGGGCGAGAGAGAAGGAGUGAAUGAAGAACAUGAGGUUUUACAGAUAGAGAAAACAGCCAGAACACAACACUCACAAGACACUCCAAUCUACUGCAAUGACAUCUUUAAAGCCUCCGCUGAAGCAGGAUCUGAGGAGAAAGAGCAGAUCAAGACUGUUCUUACCAAAGGCAUCGCUGGAAUCGGAAAAACCGUCUCUGUGCAGAAGUUCAUUCUGGACUGGGCCGAGGGGAAAGCCAAUCAGGAUGUAGAUUUCAUUUUUGUGCUUCCAUUUCGAGAGCUGAACUUGAUCCGAGAUCAUCAGUACAGUCUUCACAGACUUCUGCUGGACUUUCAUCCUGAACUUCAAGAUCUGGACUCACAGAUUUAUGAGGAGUGUAAAGUUGUGUUCAUCUUUGAUGGUCUGGAUGAAAGCAGAAUCACACUGAUGUUUUCAGAUGAUCAGAAAGUUUGUGAUGUGACCGAGACUUCAUCAGUGGCUGUGUUGAUGUCAAAGCUCAUCAAAGGAGAGCUGCUUCCCUCUGCUCUCAUCUGGAUCACCUCCAGACCAGCAGCAGCCAAUCAGAUCCCCUCCGAAUACAUCCACCGUCUGACAGAGAUUCAGGGAUUCACUGAGUCUCAGAAGGAGGAAUAUUUCAGGAAGAGAAUCAGUGAUGAGCAUCAAGCCAGCAGAAUCAUCUCACACAUCAGAAGAGCAAGAAGCCUCCACAUCAUGUGCCACAUCCCCGUCUUCUGCUGGAUCUCAUCCACUGUGCUUCAGAAGCUCCUGGAAGAAGAUCUGAGUGCAGAAAUCCCUCAAACUCUGACUGAAAUGUACAUCCACUUCCUGCUGAUUCAGAUCAACACGAGGAAGCAGAAGUAUGAAGAGAGAGAUCCCGAGAAACUCCUGCAGUCCAACAGAGAAGUGAUUGUGAAACUUGCUGAAGUGGCUUUCAAACAGCUGAUGGAGGGCAAUGUGAUGUUCUAUGAGGAGGACCUGAUUGAAAGCGGUAUAGACAUCACUGACGCCUCAGUGUAUUCUGGGAUUUGCACUGAGAUCUUUAAAGAGGAAUCUGUGAUUCAUCAAAAGAAAGUCUACAGCUUCAUCCAUCUGAGCGUUCAUGAGUUUCUCGCUGCUUUCUAUCUGUUUUUCUGCUUUGUAACAAAGAACAAGAAGCCACUGGAGAUUUUUCUGCAUGAAUUCAGAUUUAAAGUCUCUCUGUAUAAUCUACUAGGAUCAGCAGUAUAUAAAGCACUCCAGAGUAAGAAUGGGCAGCUGGAUCUGUUCCUGCGGUUCCUGCUGGGCGUCUCACUGGAGUCCAAUCAGAGACUCUUACAGGAUCUACUGACACACACAGAGAACAGCUCAGAGAGCAUCAGAGAAACCACACGGUACAUUAAACAGAAGAUCAAAGAUCCUAAUGAUUAUAAUCGUCUCUCAGCUGGUCAAUCCAUCAGUCUGUUCCUCUGUCUGCUGGAAGUGAAGGAUCAGACUCUGUCCAGAGAAAUUCAGGAGUUUGUGAAAUCAGACAAACACUCAGAGAAACUCUCUGCUGCUCAGUGCUCAACGAUCUCCUACAUGCUUCAGAUGUCAGAGGAGCCGCUGGAUGAGCUGAACACCAUGAAAUACAACACAUCAGACGAGGGGAGAAGAAGACUGAUACCAGCUGUGAUCAACUGCAGAAAAGCUCUAUUUUCUGGCUGUGAUCUCUCAGAUCAGGAUUGUGAAACUGUAUCUUCAGCUCUACAAUCCUCAAGCUGUGUCCUGAGAGAGCUGGAUCUGAGUAACAAUCACCUGCAGGACGCUGGUGUAAAGUUUAUUUCUGAUGGACUGAAGAGUCCAAACUGUCAACUGCAGAUACUGAGUCUUGCUGGCUGUAAUCUCACUGCUCAGUGUUGUGAGAGAUUGUCUUCAGCUCUACAGUCCUCAAACUGUGUCCUGAGAGAGCUGGAUCUGAGUAACAAUGACCUGCAGGACUCUGGAGUAAAGUUUAUUUCUGAUGGACUGAAGAGUCCAAACUGUCAGCUGCAGAUACUGAGGUUGUCUGGCUGUAUGGUGACAGAAAAAGGCUGUGGUUAUUUGUCUUUAGCUCUGAGUUCAAACCCUUCACACCUGAGAGAGCUGGAUCUGAGCUACAAUUACCCAGGACAAUCAGGAGUCCAGCUACUCAACCACAAACUGGAUGAUCCUAACUAUAAAAUGCAGAUACUCAAUGUGGCUCAUGGAGGAGAGAUAAUGAUGAAAGCAGGACUACGAAAGUAUGCCUGUGAUCUCACACUGGAUCCAAACACAGCCAACACUCAACUCAUGCUGUCUGAUGCGAACAGGAAGAUCACAGGUGUGGACGAUCGGCAGUCGUAUCCUGACCAUCCAGAGAGAUUUGAUAAGGAUCCUCAGGUUCUGUGUGUUGAGAGUCUGACUGGACGCUGUUACUGGGAGGCUGAAUGGAAGAGACGUGCCGAGAUAUCAGUGUCAUAUAAAGGAAUCGACAGGAAAGGAGGGAGUGACUGUGAAUUUGGAUUCAAUGAGAAAUCCUGGAGUCUGGUCUGCUCUGAUAAAAAAUUCUCAGUCUGUCACAAUAAGAACAGCACUGAUAUACCUGCAGUCUGUUCAUCCUUUAAGAGAGCAGGAGUGUAUCUGGACUGGUCAGCCGGCUCGCUGUCCUUCUACAGCGUCUCUGACACAGACACACUCACACACUUACACACACUCAACACCACAUUCACUGAACCCCUCUGUGCUGGAUUUAGAGUUGAUAAUGAUUCCUCAGUGUCUCUGUGUGAUAUUAAAUGAUAGAGAGACUCUGUAAAUCCUCUUUCCGAUAUUCACAUGCACACAAACUCAAAUCAAAUUGAUUAACAUGGAAAAGCAUUUGUGGCAUCUUCUCCUGAUAGCACCGAAAAUAACUUAAUUUACACUUUCAGUUUUGAUCGUACAGAUGAGAGCAAUACAUCAAUCGGAUCGGUAAAGGGUCUACUUUUAUUUGUAUACAUGCAUAAUAACAACAAAACUUUGUGCAAUUAUAAAAUAAAGAUAGCAAACAAGGUGCGCUGAUCUUCAUUUACAAACGCAUCAUUAAAAUGAACUGUAACUCAGUGAAUACUCAACGAAGUGACAUGAGAUAUAUAUAUAUAUAUAUAUAUAGAAAGCUUGACAUAUCUACUUUUAAACUAAACAAGUGCUACCAAAAUCAAAUAUUCUGUGUUAAAGUAAUCCAUAUGAAAACAAUGAGAUUUUCAUUGUUCAAACAACCACACUAUAAUGAUAAAAAUCCAACCAGUUGUUUUUUUUUAUUUUAUUUUUAUUUUAAUCUCUGUAAAUCAUUUCCCCUUUCUCAACUUGAGCCGAUCGCAGGAGCUUGUCUUUGUGACAUCAUACACACAGGCCUCUCCCACAAUAGUUUGAUUGACAGUAGUGUUUUAACACACACUGGACUGGCAUAUGGCAAGUUAAUUGUGCCAUGGAUAAUCUACCAAAUGAGACGGCUGUUUACUUUCACGUGAGAGAAGGGGUAAAUCACCUCAACAGACGCAUGACACCAAUGUCAUGGACAAGUACGUCUCUGCAUUACACGUAUCAUCUAAAUAAUACAUCAGCAGAGCUGUAAUUUUGCCAAUUAUACAGUAAUAAAAAUGAAAGAUGAACACGUUUGUCAGCAUCCUACAUCUUGUAGUUUGUCUCCGGGCUUCUAGAGUUUCCGUUUUCUUUGCUUUACUUCUUACUCAUGUGGCCUUGUUAUCAUUAUCCAGGUCACCUGUGCCUUGUUUUCCCCAGUGUAUUUAAGUUGUAUAUUUUUGCCUUGGUUCCUCAAUCGGUUUUUGAGUCUUCACCCUGUGUUUCCUGUCUGGUCUCGCUAAAGCCUCCCUAGCUACUAAAAGUAAGGUUUGAUGAGUUCCGUUCUUUGGUAGUUGUUUUGCCGCAGUUAAUUCCUCAGUACGAGAAUAAUUUUUGUUGUAUUUUUUCUUGCAGAGAUUAUUUUAUUAAAUCUACACUUCCUUUUAAAUCUACACCUACCAUCAUUAACUGCUCCAAUGGCUCAGUGGUAGACCUUUCACUCAUCACACCAGAGAUCUGAGGUCUAACCUGGCCUGUGACACAUUUAUUUAUAAUAAGCAAUAUUUUAAGUAUAUUUUGAUGCUUAUAGUCCUGUAUUUUACUUUAUUUAAAGGAUGUAUUUGUAUUUUGAUUAAAGGGAUAAUUCACCAAAAUCAUGAACGUCAUAAUCAAGUAAUCACGGAGUAAUUUAUCAUUUCCUUGUCUUUUGUGGAACAUAAAGGUUAUUCUGAGACUUUUCCUUUUAUGCAAGACUUUUCCAUAUCCCAUAAAGAUACGAUUUUUGGCUUCCUUUAAAUAAGCACAAUAGCCAUUUCAAUUAAUUUUACAAAAACUGUCAACACUAGUAAUAAUUAUAAUCAAUAUCAUUUAUGUAUCCAUUUUUUAACAAACACUCUGUCAGUUCAGUUGUUUAUCAAUUUGUUUUCUGUAAUCUUUUUUCCCAUUUUAAUUUGUUGACUCAAAUGUCAUAAGGCACUGUUUAUACUCUGCUUGUUCAUGAAAUUAAGCUAAGAAUAAAAAAUUGACACUG